AUCCUUUUAUAGUUCAUAAGUCUGAUGACUGGGUGUCAUGCUCAUGUGUGAGACAUGCCUCACUUAAGGUUUGUUAUGUCAGCAUAUUACUUGCCUAUA